rnacentral:lncRNA from 1 species
GUCAUAAUGUAUUUAACCUUAGUUUCUGUUUUUUUUUUUUUUAAGAAUGGCCUUCUCCAAGGUUUUUAUUUAUUCAUAUAUUUAUUUUUUAAUGAUUGGCCCUGAGCCAACAUCUGUUGCCAAUCUUCCUCUUUUUUUCCUUCUCCUCAAAGCCCCCCAGUACAUAGUUCUAUAUUCUAGUUGUGCUAUGUGGGAUGCUGCUUCAGCGUGACCUAAUGAGUGGUGCCAUGUACAUGCCCAGGAUCCAAACCCGUGAAACCCCGGGCCACUGAUGUGGAGCACGUGAACUUAACCACUCGGCCGUGAGGCUGGCCCCUAACCUUAGUUUCUUAAUCUAAUUCAAUUGCACAACAAUAUUUAAAAGUAAAAUGUGUGGCUAGAAGACCAAAGGAGCGUGUAAUACAAUUUUGGAUAAAAGAAGAUAGCAGAAAACAAUCACACAAAUGAAUCAGAAAACAUAUUUUCUUCAUUCAUAGUAGAAUAAAAAUAGAGAAGCUGAGACACAUUUAUUUUAUCAGGAACAAAAAUGAACCAAAUAUUUUAAAUAUGUACCGAAAUUAUAAUCAAAAUUAGAUUUGUAUAAAAAGAUCAUCAAAGUGAUGGCAUACAUCAAGAGAGUUGGAAAAUGCAGUUUCUGUGUCAAUGCACAGAUCAAACAGCAUGUUUUUUGCCUGAAUUAUUACAUAGUUUACUGGUAGUCUUCAUAGGGUGCAUCCUUUUCUUAAGUGAAAUUCAUCCAUUCGCCAUUUUUCCUUCAUUCACUCAUUCAGCAAUUGUUUACUGAGGACCUGAUAUCUGCCGAUCUCUCUCAUAUUCCACAGAUACAGUAAUGAACCAAACAGAUACAGUCUUUCCUUUCCCAAACUCACAAACUAGUGAAAUGGGCAGAAAUUAAACAUAUAAUUACACAUAGAAAUGUAGUGGCCUGGGUUUUUACCAUCCCCACUCUCUUUUUCUUCAGAUCUGGCACAAAUCAGACCAAAGACAUAGAGAGACUAAAGGGAACGAGUCCUGCCAGGGUGGGGAGUUCUCAUUGUCCUGAAAUCACACUGCAUGAAGUUAAACCACAGGCUGGUUCUCCCUCUUCCUUCUCUUGCUACACAGUGGACUCCAAAGCCCAGCCUCCUUCUCCUAUCCCCACGUUGGCUGUGGGGCUGGGUCCAAGAAAUCCAGAAGCCGCAGGGAAGGGGGAGAGAAAGAAGCUUCCAAGCAGGAAGCUUUCCCUAUUGCCUGGAGAGAGACGCUGGGUUUAUGUAUCCAUACAUCUAUAUGCUUGGAUAUUUACGUUUGGGAAAGUAAGGACUCAUGCAUGUUUAAAACCUUUCAGUACAACUUGUCUACUUUUCUCCUAUUUGUUGGAGAAGUAUGUUGAGGGAAAUAGGAAUCAACUCUUUCAGAAAUCUUGAGGACUUUUGGUGCAUUAUAACCAAAGAAUCAGCUAAUAUAAUUGUGCAUCUGCCUAUAUCAAUAUAUUACCAAUAUAUAACUUUGUGUGCAUUUUAUAAUCAUCUUUCUUAUGCCCUGCUAUAUCUAAGAAGACCCUGGAAUAGUGUAUCCUGGCUGCGUAUUGGAAUCAGCUGGGUGGUUUUAAAACAUUCUGAAUCCUGGGUCCCACUUCCAGAGAACCUGAUGCAGUAGUUCUGGAAUGUGGUCUGCGCAUUGGGAAUCCGGAAACUGCUUGGGUAACUCUAAUGUGUGUCCGAGGUUAAAAAUCACUGGCCUAAAACAAAGUGUUAUGGCUUUAAAAAGAGAAAGAAAAAUGUAUUUUCCUUCCUUAUUAAUUGUGCUGUGAAUAUAAGCAUUACAAUUGGAGCUUAAACUCUACAGAUUAACUAUUGUUGUCUCUUGUUUUUCCACACCCCCACCAAGGCAAAUGUCUGAGAUAGAGUUGCUCCAAGAUUCUCCCUAAAUUCUACGCAUCAGCUCACCAAUUCUUGCUGAUGGUAUGCAUCACUACUUCACAGGACCUGUGCUGGGAAGUUCCCAUGCCUCUGAGAGGCUCUUCCCUGCUUACAGCUUUAUACCACGGGAGGAACUGAACCAGCUGCCAUAACAUGAUACUGCUCAAGAAGCCCUAUGAAGAAGGCCAUGUGGCAAAGAACAUACAGUUCCAACAAUCAGUGGAGAACUGAGAGUCUGCUGCCAACUGUGUCCGUGGCUCUUCCAGCCCUAGUGAAGCCUUCAAAGUGACUGCAACCCCAGUGAGCAUCUUAACUGCAACAUCAUUUGAGAUCUCAAGUCAGAAUCACACAGAUAAGCUGCCUCAAAUUUCUGAUCAACAGAGACUGUGUGAGAACUCUACAAUCACAAACAUGGAGCUUCCAGCCCU